rnacentral:rRNA from 1 species
UAGGGAAUCUUCGGCAAUGGGGGCAACCCUGACCGAGCAACGCCGCGUGAGUGAAGAAGGUUUUCGGAUCGUAAAGCUCUGUUGUAAGAGAAGAACGUGUGUGAGAGUGGAAAGUUCACACAGUGACGGUAACUUACCAGAAAGCCACGGCUAACUACGUGCCAA